rnacentral:rRNA from 1 species
UACGGAGGGGGCUAGCGUUGUUCGGAAUUACUGGGCGUAAAGCGUGCGCAGGCGGUUAUGUAAGACAGAUGUGAAAUCCCCGGGCUCAACCUGGGAACUGCAUUUGUGACUGCAUAGCUAGAGUACGGUAGAGGGGGAUGGAAUUCCGCGUGUAGCAGUGAAAUGCGUAGAUAUGCGGAGGAACACCGAUGGCGAAGGCAAUCCCCUGGACCUGUACUGACGCUCAUGCACGAAAGCGUGGGGAGCAAACAGG